GGAUGUGAGGGUGACUUGGCUGUGACAUCUGUCAGCCCUUUGAUCACCAGAGCUGAUUUGCUGAUCUGGCUGGCUAGGUGGGUGUUCCCUUCCUCCCUUAUCACUCCAUGUGCAUCCCUCCCAAAACUGUACGCUUGGUCAAAGAGGACAAUCGCCCUGAUAGAGGUGGACCAUUUCCUUGGUCAAGGGUAUACAAGUAGCUGCACUCCCCUGCUAGAACAUCCAAACAAGCUCUCAAGAGAGGAGGAAAAAUAUCAGGAACCCAAAUGACAUCAGACUUCUCCACAGUCAAAAAAUUUGAAAAGU
rfam:Heterocephalus glaber contig90889, whole genome shotgun sequence.